rnacentral:rRNA from 1 species
UACACUCCUACGGGAGGCAGCAGUGGGGAAUUUUGGACAAUGGGCGAAAGCCUGAUCCAGCAAUGCCGCGUGAGUGAAGAAGGCCUUCGGGUUGUAAAGCUCUUUUGUCAGGGAAGAAACGGUGAAAGCUAAUAUCUUUUGCUAAUGACGGUACCUGAAGAAUAAGCACCGGCUAACUACGUGCCAGCAGCCGCGGUAAUACGUAGGGUGCAAGCGUUAAUCGGAAUUACUGGGCGUAAAGCGUGCGCAGGCGGUUUUGUAAGUCUGAUGUGAAAUCCCCGGGCUCAACCUGGGAAUUGCAUUGGAGACUGCAAGGCUAGAAUCUGGCAGAGGGGGGUAGAAUUCCACGUGUAGCAGUGAAAUGCGUAGAUAUGUGGAGGAACACCGAUGGCGAAGGCAGCCCCCUGGGUCAAGAUUGACGCUCAUGCACGAAAGCGUGGGGAGCAAACAGGAUUAGAAACCCGGGUAGUCCCAUGA